rnacentral:lncRNA from 1 species
CGGUGGUGAAACCCCCAUAUCACCCUAAGCCACCAAAACAUCCCCCGCAUCCUCCCAAGCCACCUGUUGUAAAGCCUCCCUAUGUACCUAAGCCACCUAUUGUAAAGCCUCCACCGUAUACACCCAAACCACCGGUUGUGAAGCCUCCGCCAUAUACACCCAAACCGCCGGUUGUGAAGCCUCCGCCAUAUACACCCAAACCGCCGGUUGUGAAGCCUCCGCCAUAUACACCCAAACCGCCGGUUGUGAAGCCUCCGCCAUAUGCACCCAAACCGCCGGUUGUGAAGCCUCCGCCAUAUGCACCCAAACCGCCGGUUGUGAAGCCUCCGCCAUAUGCACCCAAACCGCCGGUUGUGAAGCCUCCACCAUAUACACCCAAGCCACCUUACUAUCCAAUACCGCCGGUCAUAUCACCACCAACACUGCCUCCAAAGCCACCAGUCUACCCCAGUCCACCAAUAGUGAACCCUCCACCAUAUACACCCAAACCGCCGGUUGUGAAGCCUCCGCCAUAUACACCCAAGCCACCUUACUAUCCAAUACCGCCGGUCAUAUCACCACCAACACUGCCUCCAAAGCCACCAGUCUACCCCAGUCCACCAAUAGUGAACCCACCAACACCGCCGAUUCUGCCACCUCCUAUUGUGAAUCCACCAACACCGCCGAUUCUACCACCACCAUCACCACCUAUUGUGAACCCACCAACGCCUCCUAUCGUGAAGCCACCUUCACCGGGAACACCGUGUCCUCCACCACCACCUCCGGCACAACAAACAUGCCCCAUAGACACUCUCAAGCUAGGUGCAUGUGUGGACGUGUUGGGUGGCUUAGUACACAUCGGCAUAGGUAGCAGCGCCAAAGACACUUG